rnacentral:rRNA from 1 species
UACGAAGGGGGCUAGCGUUGCUCGGAAUCACUGGGCGUAAAGGGUGCGUAGGCGGGUCUUUUAAGUCAGGGGUGAAAUCCUGGAGCUCAACUCCAGAACUGCCUUUGAUACUGAAGAUCUUGAGUUCGGGAGAGGUGAGUGGAACUGCGAGUGUAGAGGUGAAAUUCGUAGAUAUUCGGAAGAACACCAGUGGCGAAGGCGGCUCACUGGACCGGCAUUGGACGCUGAGGUGCGAAAGCGUGGGGAGCAAACAGGG